rnacentral:rRNA from 1 species
UAGAUAAAGAACCAAUUUAAUUUGGUGAUUCAUAAUAACUUAACGGAUCACAUUUAUAUGUGACAUAUCAUUCAAGUUUUUGACCUAUCAGCUUUAGACGGUAGGGUAUUGGCCUACCGUGGCAAUUACGGGUAACGGGGAAUUAGGGUUUGAUUCCGGAGAGGGAGCCUGAGAAACGGCUACCACAUUUAAGGAAGGCAGCAGGCGCGCAAAUUACCCAAUCCUAAUACAGGGAGGUAGUGACAAGAAAUAACAAUACAGGACUUUAAAUAGUUUUGUAAUUGGAAUGAGUUGAGUAUAAACCCCUUUACAAGUAUCAAUUGGAGGGCAAGUUUGGUGCCAGCAGCCGCGGUAAUUCCAGCUCCAAUAGCGUAUAUUAAAGUUGUUGCAGUUAAAAAGCUCGUAGUUGGAUUUCUGUUAAUAAUUUAUAUAUAAUAUUUUAUUAAUAUUUAUAUAGUAUUAACAUAAUUCAUAUUACUAUUUUAUAGUAUAUGAAAUUUUACUUUGAGAAAAUUAGAGUGCUUAAAGCAGGCAUUAGCCUUGAAUACUCCAGCAUGGAAUAUAUAAAAGAUUUUUAUCUUUUUUAUUGGUUCUAAGAUAAAAAUAAUGAUUAAUAGGGACAGUUGGGGGCAUUUGUAUUUAACAGUCAGAGGUGAAAUUCUUAGAUUUGUUAAAGACAAACAAGUGCGAAAGCAUUUGCCAAGGAUGUUUUCAUUAAUCAAGAACGAAAGUUAGGGGAUCGAAGACGAUCAGAUACUGUGG